rnacentral:rRNA from 1 species
UACAGAGGUCCCGAGCGUUGUUCGGAUUCACUGGGCGUAAAGGGUGCGUAGGUGGUGAGGUAAGUCGGAUGUGAAAUCUCCGGGCUCAACCCGGAAAUGGCAUUGGAAACUACCUUGCUGGAGGAUUUGAGGGGGGAUUGGAAUACUUGGUGUAGCAGUGAAAUGCGUAGAUAUCAAGUGGAACACCAGUGGCGAAGGCGAAUCCCUGGAAAAUACCUGACACUGAGGCGCGAAAGCUAGGGGAGCAAACAGG